GACGAACGCUGGCGGCGUGCUUAACACAUGCAAGUCGAACGGAAAGGCCCUGCUUUUGUGGGGUGCUCGAGUGGCGAACGGGUGAGUAACACGUGAGUAACCUGCCCUUGACUUUGGGAUAACUUCAGGAAACUGGGGCUAAUACCGGAUAGGAGCUCCUGCUGCAUGGUGGGGGUUGGAAAGUUUCGGCGGUUGGGGAUGGACUCGCGGCUUAUCAGCUUGUUGGGGGGGUAGUGGCUUACCAAGGCUUUGACGGGUAGCCGGCCCGAGAGGGUGAACGGGCACAUUGGGACUGAGGGACGGCGCAGACGCGUACGGGAGGCAGCAGGGGGAAAUAUUGCGCAAUGGGCGGAAGUCUGAGGCGACAACGCCGCGUGCGGGAUGACGGCCUACGGGUGGUAAACCGCUGUCGCCUGUGACGAAGCGGGAGUGACGGUAAUGGGUAAAGAAGCACCGGCUAACUACGUG
rnacentral:rRNA from 1 species